rnacentral:rRNA from 1 species
GACGAACGCUGGCGGCGUGCCUAAUACAUGCAAGUAGAACGCUGAAGGAGGAGCUUGCUUCUCUGGAUGAGUUGCGAACGGGUGAGUAACGCGUAGGUAACCUGCCUGGUAGCGGGGGAUAACUAUUGGAAACGAUAGCUAAUACCGCAUAAGAGUAGAUGUUGCAUGACAUUUGCUUAAAAGGUGCAAUUGCAUCACUACCAGAUGGACCUGUGUUGUAUUAGCUAGUUGGUGGGGUAACGGCUCACCAAGGCGACGAUACAUAGCCGACCUGAGAGGGUGAUCGGCCACACUGGGACUGAGACACGGCCCAGACUCCUACGGGAGGCAGCAGUAGGGAAUCUUCGGCAAUGGACGGAAGUCUGACCGAGCAACGCCGCGUGAGUGAAGAAGGUUUUCGGAUCGUAAAGCUCUGUUGUAAGAGAAGAACGAGUGUGAGAGUGGAAAGUUCACACUG